ACGUGUUUACGGUUCCAAAAC
rnacentral:misc_RNA from 1 species